UACAGGGGGGGCAAGCGUUGUUCGGAAUUACUGGGCGUAAAGGGUCUGUAGGUGGCCAACUAAGUCAGACGUGAAAUCCCUCAGCUUAACUGGGGAACUGCGUCCGAUACUGGAUGGCUUGGAUUUGGGAGAGGGAUGCGGAAUUCCAGGUGUAGCGGUGAAAUGCGUAGAUAUCUGGAGGAACACCGGUGGCGAAGGCGGCAUCCUGGACCAAUAUUGACGCUGAGGAGCGAAAGCCAGGGGAGCAAACGGG
rnacentral:rRNA from 1 species